UUUGAGUCACCAAGGGAGCAAAGUGGGAAAAAGGUCACAUCUGACUCUAGGGAGAGGGGCUUGCGGUUUACUACAUCAAUAAAAGAUAUUCAUGUGAGUUGUGACUCUGCUCUUAUGCAAAAAGAUGAAAUGUGUCUCCAAGAAAAGGAUAUGAUACA